ACAAAUUAAAGCUUAUAAAGUUUUUUAUUUACAUUAAAAGGAGAAUUGUUUAUUCAAUUUAAUUU
rnacentral:tRNA from 1 species